UCGGGAAUUUUGGGCAAUGGGCGAAAGCCUGACCCAGCAACGCCGCGUGAAGGAUGAAGUAUUUCGGUAUGUAAACUUCGAAAGAAUAGGAAGAAUAAAUGACGGUACUAUUUAUAAGGUCCGGCUAACUACGUGCCAGCAGCCGCGGUAAUACGUAGGGACCAAGCGUUGUUCGGAUUUACUGGGCGUAAAGGGCGCGUAGGCGGCAAUUCAAGUCAUCUGUGAAAUCUCCGGGCUUAACUCGGAACGGUCAGAUGAUACUGCUUUGCUAGAGUGCAGAAGGGGCAAUCGGAAUUCUUGGUGUAGCGGUGAAAUGCGUAGAUAUCAAGAGGAACACCUGAGGUGAAGACGGGUUGCUGGGCUGACACUGAGGUGCGAAAGCGUGGGGAGCAAACAGGAUUAGAUACCCGGGUAGUCCCUGAGCGGGCUGGCAAGGCGCAU
rnacentral:rRNA from 1 species